GGUCGCUUAGCUCAGUUGGUUAGAGCGUGGUGCUAAUAUUUCGGUUUCUCUCAAGAGUUUCCUAUAUAUUAAACGCCAAGGCCGUGGGUUCGACCCCCAUAGUGACCA